CACGUAGGGGACGAGCGUUGUCCGGAUUCAUUGGGCGUAAAGCGCGCGUAGGCGGCCCCGGAAAGUCGGAUGUGAAAACCUGGGGCUCAACCCCAGGCGUGCACCCGAUACUCCCGGGCUGGAGGCAGGCAGGGGAGAACGGAAUUCCCGGUGUAGCGGUGAAAUGCGCAGAUAUCGGGAGGAACACCGGUGGCGAAGGCGGUUCUCUGGGCCUGUACUGACGCUGGAGGAGCGAAAGCGUGGGGAGCGAACAGG
rnacentral:rRNA from 1 species